rnacentral:lncRNA from 1 species
AUCAGGGGCCAGCGGGUUCAAGUUCCACAAAACCAAUGGAUGCCGCGUAGAGGUCUAGUCGCCGGUGAGAGGUUUCUUCUUGGAUUGUGUCCAUAGUGACCGCACAGGCACAGAUCGGUGUUAAUAAUUACUCUAUUAUGUGUGGUUAAUUAUAAGUGUAAAGCUGGGGUGCAUGGUUUACCGUUUACGUAGGGCAAGUUAACACGGUGCUUUAUAUGCCGCCUUCAUAGCAGGUUACUCUUCUGUUACUGUUACACAAAGGUUAAUUGUCAAUAAAUCAUUUUUAUGUCACCCAAAAAAAAAAAAAAUUCGUGUGCCACAAUUAUUAGGAGAAAAAAGUUGCGUUUUUUGGGUUACUCGCAAAAAAAGGUGCUUUAUAUGCCGCCUUCAUGGCAGGUUACUCUUCUGGUUUUUUUUUGCGCACAGGGUGAUUUUAUUCCAUAGGUAUAGAAUUACAAUCUUUAGCAACCAACAUGGUGAUGCAUGGAGGCGGUCUACCCAACCAACAAGCAGUACUAUCUCCACAUCUAUCAAAGUUUGAUAAACAAUGAGCAACUCUAUUUUGUUCCCUACUAACUUUAAGAGGAAAAACCUCCCUAUCCAAAAUAAAUCUCCUAAUCUCUGAAACUAAGUGACCAUAAGCCGAUCUAUCAAAGGAAUCUGUAGUAAUCAUCUUGAGUGCAACCGCACAAUCAGAUUGCAACACCACCGGGAAUGGAGAAUGAGCAGUCGCCAGCUCAAGCCCUUCUUUUAUUGCUUGUAAUUCUGCCUCAAGAGCCUCGUUGCAAUGGAACAAUUUACGAUAGGAUGCAAAGAUAACGGUCCCUAUAUCAUCUCGGAGAAUCAUACCUGAUCCCGCUGACCCAUCCAGAGGGUUAUAAGAACCAUCGACAGACAAGGCAACCACAUUACUUGCAGGGGCUGGCCAUGGCCGAGCAGGUUGUAUAGCUGACGAGGCCAGGGGAGGUGCACACUCCAUGACAGGUGUUUUGCCUUUCAAAAUCUCCUCAACACUUAGGAAGAUAUUCUUGUAGGAAUUGUAGUAGCUUGAGAGAAAAGAACAUGAAAUAUCGAGCGGAGGUAUCGGUUUGCCAUGUAUGAUUUCAUUUUGUAGGUACAUUCUCCAAAGCACCAUAAUAAUUCUGCUUCUAAUAGAUUCCUGCGCCUCCAUCAGCAUAUGAAGCAGCCACUCCGUACCUGUGCAAGUAAUAUGCAUCCGAGAAGGAAGUGGCCAGAACGAUUGCAUUGAAUCCCAUAGCCUCGCAGCAUUAGGACACAUCAGAAGGGCAUGAAAUGAUGUUUCCUCAUCACGCCCACAUAGGGCACAAGUAGCCAAAGUGCCCAUAUGUCUCCGAUUUUUCUCUGCCGAAGUAGGAAGAGAACUAGAAAUAACCUGCCAAGCAAAGUGACGCAUUUUUGGAGUGGCUGCGAUGUUCCAAACCAUUUUCCACAGAGACCUAUCGCCGGACGGUGCUGAGGAGGACGCACCUGGGUUAAUCUGGCUCCAGCAUGAUGACAUAGCAAAGUGAUAAGCAGUCUUAACAGAGAAGUUACCAGAUUUAUCCCAUGGCCAGGAGAUAAAAUCCUCCAUUUGGCGUGUGGAAGUACGAAUUUUCAAAAUAGAAGCAACAUCCGUCGGGCAGAAAAAAUGCUGCAGUAAAUCAGACCUCCAAUUCCCAUAAGCAUCGAGGAAAUCCUUUACCUUGUUAAGGCGACAACUUUGCUUUGGAAGAAUAGGAGUGAAGGGAGGACCACGAGGAAUCCAUGGGUCUCUCCAAACACGAAUUUGUGCACCAUUACCAACCCUCCAGAUCAUUCCUUUUUUCACCAAAACCAGACCAUAUUCAAUUCCCUUCCACACCGCCGAAGAAUUGGACCGAAACACCGUAUCAACCAGGUUGUCAUUAGGAAAAUAUUUCGCUUUUAGAAGUCUAGCACACAGUAAAUCCGAUGUAGUUAGAAGCCGCCAAGCCUGUUUAGCUAACAUGGCUUAGUUAUAAGCGUACAUGUCCCUAAAGCCUAGGCCUCCGCGAGACUUACUACUACACAAAGGUUAAUUGUCAAUA